rnacentral:rRNA from 1 species
UAAUGAUGGCGACCGGCGCACGGGUGAGUAACACGUAUCCAACCUGCCGAUAACUCGGGGAUAGCCUUUCGAAAGAAAGAUUAAUACCCGAUGGUAUAAUAAAGCCGCAUGGUUUAAUUAUUAAAGAAUUUCGGUUAUCGAUGGGGAUGCGUUCCAUUAGGCAGUUGGUGAGGUAACGGCUCACCAAACCUUCGAUGGAUAGGGGUUCUGAGAGGAAGGUCCCCCACAUUGGAACUGAGACACGGUCCAA